rnacentral:tRNA from 1 species
UAUAUUUUAGUAUAGGAUGUACAUAGGUUUUUGAAGCUUAAAGAAUUAGUUUAAUUCUGAUAAAUAUAA